rnacentral:rRNA from 1 species
AACGAACGCUGGCGGCAGGCUUAACACAUGCAAGUCGAACGAUCCCUUCGGGGAUAGUGGCAGACGGGUGAGUAACGCGUGGGAACCUACCUUUAGGUACGGAACAACAGUUGGAAACGACUGCUAAUACCGUAUGUGCCCUAUGGGGGAAAGAUUUAUCGCCUAAGGAUGGGCCCGCGUUGGAUUAGCUAGUUGGUGGGGUAAUGGCUUACCAAGGCGACGAUCCAUAGCUGGUCUGAGAGGAUGAUCAGCCACACUGGGACUGAGACACGGCCCAGACUCCUACGGGAGGCAGCAGUGGGGAAUAUUGGACAAUGGGGCAACCCUGAUCCAGCCAUGCCGCGUGAGUGAUGAAGGCCCUAGGGUUGUAAAGCUCUUUCAGCGAGGAGGAUAAUGACGUUACUCGCAGAAGAAGCCCCCGGCUAACUUCGUGCCAGCGCCGCGGUAA